UACGGAGGAUGCGAGCGUUAUCCGGAUUUAUUGGGUUUAAAGGGUGCGUAGGCGGUCCGUUAAGUCAGCGGUAAAAUUGCGGGGCUCAACCCCGUCGAGCCGUUGAAACUGGCAGACUUGAGUUGGCGAGAAGUACGCGGAAUGCGCGGUGUAGCGGUGAAAUGCAUAGAUAUCGCGCAGAACCCCGAUUGCGAAGGCAGCGUACCGGCCGGUCACUGACGCUGAGGCACGAAAGCGCGGGUAUCGAACAGG
rnacentral:rRNA from 1 species